GACUCCAAAACAGAUAGCAAUUUGGUGUACUCAGUUUUCAUCAUCUCAAAACCAAGAAAGGCUGAAGGAUGGUGAGGCAAUUUACUGGGAAUACUCCAAUUACAGCAGAACUGUACACACAAUAAUCAACAUCAGCAAACAUCAAGAGGACAAUUAUCACUGUGUUGUUUCUAACUAGCAUGCAGAGUCUCUCCUGGACAGCAAAUUCCCCACCGUUUCAGUGAUCAUUCCUGUUGCUGGGGUUUUCCUCACUCCCAGAGCCACUAAAAUGGAGGUUCUGAUUGGGAGUUGUCUCGUUCCAGAAUGUGUAUUGAGCCGAG